rnacentral:tRNA from 1 species
GAAGGGAUAGCUUAGUAGGUAAAGCACUUGCUUUCUAAGCAUGAGGACCUGAGUUCAAUUCUCAGAACCUACC